rnacentral:rRNA from 1 species
UGGGGAAUUUUGGACAAUGGGCGAAAGCCUGAUCCAGCCAUGCCGCGUGCAGGAUGAAGGCCUUCGGGUUGUAAACUGCUUUUGUACGGAACGAAAAGACUCUGGUUAAUACCUGGGGUCCAUGACGGUACCGUAAGAAUAAGCACCGGCUAACUACGUGCCAGCAGCCGCGGUAAUACGUAGGGUGCAAGCGUUAAUCGGAAUUACUGGGCGUAAAGCGUGCGCAGGCGGUUAUAUAAGACAGAUGUGAAAUCCCCGGGCUCAACCUGGGAACUGCAUUUGUGACUGUAUAGCUAGAGUACGGCAGAGGGGGAUGGAAUUUCCGCGUGUAGCAGUGAAAUGCGUAGAUAUGCGGAGGAACACCGAUGGCGAAGGCAAUCCCCUGGCCUGUACUGACGCUCAUGCACGAAAGCGUGGGGAGCAAACAGGAUUAGAUACCCUGGUAGUCCACGCCCUAAACGAUGUCAACUGGUUGUUGGGUCUUCACUGACUCAGUAACGAAGCUAACGCGUGAAGUUGACCGCCUGGGGAGUACGGCCGCAAGGUUGAAACUUAAAGGAAUUGACGGGGUCAUAGCUGUUUCCU